CCUCCUCCGCCAGCCGCGUCCUCCCGGGCUCGGUGAAGAACUGUUCCUGGAGGAGCCGCGGGACGCCGAAACCAGCCAAUAGGAAGAAGCGAGACGCGGAGAUUGGCACUGUGGAUGGGAAGCUCCUCAUGUGGAAAUGUAUCCAGGCCCCAAAGGUAGGAACGGGGAAGGACUGGCAGGCAAAGCAAGGCAUUCUCGGCAGAAUGCGGAGCACAAAUAAAGAUUUGAGGUGACCAGCUUUAGUAACGAGGAGUACACACUGCGAAGUCACAUGAAAUGGACAUGGAAUCAGAAGGAAGAGCUAGAUUGAGGUAAGAAGCAAACUGCUGUGAACCAGAAUUGUAAUGCUGGGAAUUAUCUGACUCCUGCAGCCCUCUCUUCUUUCUCUGCCCUGGUGAAUGAUGGCUGAGAUUUGAAAUUUAAGGCAUGUAAAACAUGGUAAACAUCAAUUUGUUGACUUGGCCAUUGAACCGGACAUCUUGCCUUCUUGCAGGUAAAACUAAAGAUCACAAGUUCUAGAUUUUAUUUAUAAGGGCAAAGCAUUGAAGUGUAUCCACUUAAGUUGCUUCUCGAUUCAGGGAAGUCUUUUUUCCUUUAAACUAUUCUUCUAGCUUUGGGGCUGGGUGCAAGAGCAAAGCAAAACAGCAACCAAAAAGCAAAGGACUCUCCAACAAUAGAACACCUGAGCUGCAAAGAUGGACGACCUGUAGAACAGAGUUGACAUGAUGUGAUCAGUCAGUUCCCAGAUGUGAAGGAAAGGAAUCCUCUGCAGCGGACUAAGGAAGGCCAGUUACAAUGCAGGGAAACUGAGAACUGGUAGGAACAGGUGGAGAAACUUACAGGAGAAGAGAGAAAAACUGGACAUAAAAGUAUAAGAAACAGAAAACACAGGAAACUUCAGCGUUGAUGGUGACCCAUUACACUGCUGGCCCCCAGUGAUCACAUCUCCCUGUAUUUGCCCUUGUGUAGUCCUCGCUCUUUGAAUUGGAAUAGGGCCCGUGACUCAUUCUGACUGACUAGAAGUGGUGGAGUGAUGCUGUACACCUUCUUAUGUCUAUAUAGGAAGACUUAAGAAGUUCUGCUUCUGGGCUCUGAGUCCCGAUCUGCUUUAUAAGGAUUCUGUUACUCUGCUGGCACUUUGUCGAGAGGCCAUGGGAGAAAAGCCCAGCUAUUCAGUGCCCAGCCAAGCCCAGGCCCCUGCUGACCGAAAUCCAUAGAGCGACCAUUGGCAAGGUCAACAGAAGAGUCAUCUGGCUGAGCCCGGCCCAGAUUACAGAAUUGUGAGCAAAUAAAAUGGCCAUUGUUUUAA